CUUGAAAUGGGCUGAGUCCCUCUUGCUCACCCUUGACUUGGAAAAACCAGUUUCUCUUUUAUUAGGCGGGGUUUCACCAUGUUGCCCAGACUGGUCUUGAACUCCUGAGCUUAAGCAAUCCACCUGCCUCGGCCUCCCAAAGUGUUGGGAUCACAGGCGUGAGCCACCGCAUCCGGCCUCAUGUUCUUUUUCAUUAAAGAGAGAAAUCAACUAUUCAGGACCGGCCCCCACCUUUCCUCAGGAGUCAUUUCUGUUCCGCACAGGCCUGCUGAACUGGGUGCUUUAUAUAGGGUAAGUGUUUCUCAUUUUUUGUUCCCUGUCCUCAAGCCUUAGGGGCAAAAGAAACAUCCAAGAUUUGAAAUUUCUUUUCUUCUUCUCAUCUGCAUGGCUGUAGCCAUCUCUCUGUUCUGCAUUAUCUUAUGACAAAAAAAAAAAAUUCUUAUUUUGAAGCAAACUCAAAGCUAGGUCCUGAUGUCUCAAGGCACAGGUACUCGUACUUAAAGGUGAGUCUGAAAUCUGUGGAUUUGGGGAACUUUGGAAAAACAAAGAUGAGUGGCUAGAUCAGGGGGCUCAUUGGGCAGGAAGAGGAGACUGGAAAAUGCCAUAUUCACUGCAAGUCAAUUAUCAACUUCCUCCAAGGCUAAAAUAGCUGAACCUGCUGCAUUUUAAACCAAUCCUCAGCCACUUUGGUGUUUUCUCAAGGAUUUCCAGGGAUCCCAGGCAGUAAAUUCUGCUGAUAAUAGGAAUUGGUGUGAUAAGGUGGGUGCUGAGCAGUUUAAGCACCAAGAUUGUAGCUCUGUCUGGUUUUGUGGAGAUUUACUCAACUAGAAGAACAGAGAUUUGGCUGGUUUUUCAGUCCUGGGGUGCAGGGUGCACCUGUACUGGAAAAUUUAGGACGUGGUUUCAUUCUUUGAGUCUCAUGUUCAAGUUGGUUUUAAUGUUAUGAAGACACUUGGGACGUAAUCCUGAGGGCAGCUGGGGGGAAGAAAGUGGUCACUGGAUGGACUUACCCUGUAGCGAGCCCAUGCAUGGUUUGUUCUCUGAUCGUGCAUGUGCUUGGCUCUAGACCCAUGUAACCAUGGUGAAGGCCACUGGGGGAUUCAGUUGGCAAAGGCAUAGUGGGCAGAAGAAUCUUGAACAAGGAGUCCAGAGCAGGUCAAGUCUCCUGAUACAGGUUGUGACUCAUGGUUUUUUGUCUCUGCCUGUAGCAGCUACAGGUCUGUAAAGCAAGGGGAGAGUGAUAAGGAAAGAACUCACCUUUCUGGGGCUCUCUGACAUUAAUGCCACCUCCCAUUUGCUUUUUGCAGACACUGUCAUCUCUCAAGUACCCAUCUUGGAGGGUACGGACCCCACAUGAGGAUUUCAGUGGAGUGAAGUUCAGGAGGCAUGGAGCUGACAACCAUGAGGCCUCGGCAGCCACCGCCACCACCGCCGCCGCCACCACCGUAGCAGCAGCAGCAGCAGCAGCAGCAGCAGCAGCAGCAGCAAGAGUAACUCUGACUUAGGAAUAGAGACAGCCAGAGAGAAAUGUGAUCAAUGAAGGAGACAUCUGGAGUGUGCGUGCUUCUUCAGAGGGACGGGUGAUGGGCAGAUUGGAAAAAGCACCGCAGAUGGGAACCUUAAUCUUUCUUUUCUAAAAUUGAUGCUAUGAAAAUUUGCGUUUUCUGUAACUUGUAAAAACUAAAAGUUGCUUGUCUACUGAAAAGCCUCUCUGCCUCUAUGUUUUAUACCAUCGGAUGCCAACUCCCGGCCUUCUAAGCCACCUCCCCUUUAGGCUAAAACUGAGACAUGAACUUGAAAAAUUGACACUGGCUUCCUCUCUCUUUAGGGUCCCCAGGCAGGUGGCUGGGACACUAUUUGCAAUCAGCAAGGAACCCUGCUGCCCUUAGACUCCCCACAGAGCAAGCAGAACUUGCAGAAUGGGGUAAAAACACUCUAUUAAAGAUUUUUUAAACCUAUUUAUAUUGUAAUAAAGUAAAUGUAAAUAAAAUUUA
rnacentral:lncRNA from 1 species